AACGCACAUUGCGCCCUGUGGUAUUCCGCAGGGCAUGCCUGUUCGAGCGUCAGUACAACACUCAAGCCUAGCUUGGUCUUGGGCCUCGCCGGAAACGGCGGGCCUUAAAAUCAGUGGCGGCGCCUGUUAGGCCCUAAGCGUAGUAAUACUCCUCGCUACAGGGACCCGGCAGGUGCUGGCCAGUAACCCCCAACUUUCUAAGUUUGACCUCGGAUCAGGUAGGGAUACCCGCUGAACUUAA
rnacentral:misc_RNA from 1 species